rnacentral:rRNA from 1 species
UGACCUCAAAUCGGUAGACUCCAGCCAUUCAACUUAAGCAUAUCAAUAA